rnacentral:rRNA from 1 species
GGCGGCGUGGAUUAGGCAUGCAAGUCGAAUGAAUCCCUUGUAGCAAUAUGAGGGGGAAAUGGCGAAAGGGGCAGUAAUGUAUGGGUAACCUACCCGGGGGUCGUGGAUAGCCGUCCUAACGGACGGGUAAUACACGGCGAUUCAGCGAGGAGACAUCUCUUUGCUGGGAAAGAAUUUCGCCUCCGGAGGGGCUCAUAUCGUAUUAGCUAGUUGGUGAGGUAACGGCUCACCAAGGCGAAGAUGCGUAGCGGGUGUGAGAGCACGACCCGCGCCACUGGCACUGAGACACUGGCCAGACACCUACGGGUGGCUGCAGUCGAGGAUCUUCGGCAAUGGGCGCAAGCCUGACCGAGCGACGCCGCGUGGAUGAUGAAGGCCUUCGGGUUGUAAAAUCCUGUCGAGGGGGAUCAAGCGCAAGUUGAGUGAUCCCUGGAGGAAGCACGGGCUAAGUUCGUGCCAGCAGCCGCGGUAAGACGAACCGUGCAAACGUUAUUCGGAAUCACUGGGCAUAAAGGGCGCGUAGGCGGCUCCAAAAGUCAGGGGUGAAAUCCGGCAGCUUAACUGUCGCAGUGCCUUUGAUACUGUGGAGCUAGAGGGAGGUAGGGGUCUGUGGAACUUCCGGUGGAGCGGUGAAAUGCGUUGAUAUCGGAAGGAACGCCGGUGGCGAAAGCGACGGACUGGAUCUCUUCUGACGCUGAGGCGCGAAAGCCAG